rnacentral:misc_RNA from 1 species
UGAGGAUGAACUGAGGGAUGCUGUACUGCUCGUGUUUGCUAACAAACAAGAUCUGCCCAAUGCUAUGAAUGCAGCAGAGAUUACUGAUAAACUUGGUCUUCACUCCCUUCGGCAACGUCAUUGGUACAUUCAGAGCACAUGCGCAACUUCUGGAGAGGGUCUUUAUGAGGGUCUUGAUUGGCUCUCGAACAACAUCGCCAAUAAGUCUUGAAAGAACUAUGGCAUCAUCUGUGUUGGAUCUGGAUGCAGGGGGUGCUGAAUGGGGGCUUCAUGGAUUAUGUGACAUUUUAAAGUCUACCUUUAUUUUGUUUUGACAUUUAUUAUAGUCUUAAUGAACGUAAUACCAUGCCGACUUCUUGGUUAUAUGUUAAUAAUCUCCUUAUCUUCGGAUUAUAAAUGCUUGGUGUUCGCUAUAAAUUUUAGAAUUUGACAUCAAAUUUUAUUGGUAGGCAAA